rnacentral:rRNA from 1 species
UGGGAAACGGGUUAAUAUUCCCGUACUUCUUACAAUUGCGAUGGGGGGACGGAGAAGGCUAGGUGGGCCUGGCGACGGUUGUCCAGGUUCAAGUGCGUAGGCUUAAGAGUUAGGUAAAUCCGGCUCUUUUUAAGGCUGAGACACGACGUCGAGCACCUACGGGUGUGAAGUCAUUGAUGCCAUGCUUCCAGGAAAAGCCUCUAAGCUUCAGAUUGUAAGGAAUCGUACCCCA